GACGAACGCUGGCGGCGUGCCUAACACAUGCAAGUCGAACGGGACUUAAUGGAAAGCGGCUUCGGCCAAUGGAAGUUAAGUUUAGUGGCGAACGGGUGAGUAACGCGUAGGCAACCUGCCCUUUGGAUGGGGACAACAUUCCGAAAGGAGUGCUAAUACCGAAUGUGACGAUUUUACCGCAUGGUUUAAUCGUGAAAGAUGGCCUCUACAUGUAAGCUAUCGCCAAAGGAUGGGCCUGCGUCUGAUUAGCUAGUUGGUGGGGUAACGGCUCACCAAGGCGACGAUCAGUAGCCGGUCUGAGAGGAUGAACGGCCACAUUGGGACUGAGAUACGGCCCAGACUCCUACGGGAGGCAGCAGUGGGGAAUAUUGGGCAAUGGGGGAAACCCUGACCCAGCAACGCCGCGUGAAGGAAGAAGGCUUUCGGGUUGUAAACUUCUUUUACCAGGGACGAAGAACGUGACGGUACCUGGAGAAAAAGCAACGGCUAACUACGUG
rnacentral:rRNA from 1 species